AACCCAUGAUGUGGACACUUUCUCAGUAAAUCCUUAAACCUUUCCCAUGCCUCAUAUAAAGUUUCCAUUUCAUUUUGCAUAAAAGUUAUAAUAUCAUUCCUCAUCUU